AUUGAACGCUGGCGGCAGGCCUAACACAUGCAAGUCGAGCGGAUGAAGGGAGCUUGCUCCUGGAUUCAGCGGCGGACGGGUGAGUAAUGCCUAGGAAUCUGCCUGGUAGUGGGGAUAACGUCCGGAAACGGGCGCUAAUACCGCAUACGUCCUGAGGGAGAAAGGGGGGGAUCUUCGGACCUCACGCUAUCAGAUGAGCCUAGGUCGGAUUAGCUAGUUGGUGGGGUAAAGGCCUACCAAGGCGACGAUCCGUAACUGGUCUGAGAGGAUGAUCAGUCACACUGGAACUGAGACACGGUCCAGACUCCUACGGGAGGCAGCAGUGGGGAAUAUUGGACAAUGGGCGAAAGCCUGAUCCAGCCAUGCCGCGUGUGUGAAGAAGGUCUUCGGAUUGUAAAGCACUUUAAGUUGGGAGGAAGGGCAGUAAGUUAAUACCUUGCUGUUUUGACGUUACCAACAGAAUAAGCACCGGCUAACUUCGUG
rnacentral:rRNA from 1 species